CUACGGGAGGCAGCAGUCGAGAAUCUUCGGCAAUGGGCGAAAGCCUGACCGAGCGACGCCGCGUGUGGGAUGAAGGCCUUCGGGUUGUAAACCGCUGUCAGAGGGGAGGAAUGGGCGGAGGGUAAUCUCUUCGUUUUGACCUAUCCUCAGAGGAAGUACGGGCUAAGUUCGUGCCAGCAGCCGCGGUAAGACGAACCGUACGAACGUUAUUCGGAAUCACUGGGCUUAAAGGGUGCGUAGGCGGCGCUGAAAGUUGGGUGUGAAAUCCCUCGGCUUAACCGAGGAACUGCGCCCAAAACUACAGUGCUUGAGGGAGAUAGAGGUGAGCGGAAUUUAGGGUGGAGCGGUGAAAUGCGUUGAUAUCCUAAGGAACGCCAGGGGCGAAAGCGGCUCACUGGGUCUCUUCUGACGCUGAGGCACGAAAGCUAGGGUAGCGAACGGGAUUAGAAACCCCGGUAGUCC
rnacentral:rRNA from 1 species